rnacentral:ncRNA from 1 species
UUUGCUCUUCCUUCGUUUUGGCUCCACGAAGGCCUCUUAUCCGUCAACCGCGCCUUAAUAGCUCAGACUUCCGAGCCUUGCUGGAUGAUGCAGAAGGGCCAACAUCAGAGGAUCAAUUGAAUAACCAACUCUCCCGCCCCGCUGCCGCUACUGCGCCUAACCGCCGCACCGAUCAUUCAGGGAGCGGACACUGCGAGGUGGGUAGUUUAUCUGGGGUGGAUGCCUCCUAAAGAGUAACUGGGGUGUGAGAAGGUAGGCUCAAGCGUUGAUUCUGCUCGUGAGCGUAAUGGUAUAAGCCUGCCUGACUAUGAGACCUUUAGAGGCUUGCUUAGAAGGAAUAAAGAGAAAAAA